UACGUAGGCAGCAAGCGUUGUUCGGAGUUACUGGGCGUAAAGGGUGCGUAGGCGGCUUUUUAAGUUUGGUGUGAAAUCUCCCGGCUCAACUGGGAGGGUGCGCCGAAUACUGAGAGGCUAGAGUGUGGGAGAGGAAAGUGGAAUUCCUGGUGUAGCGGUGGAAUGCGCAGAUAUCAGGAGGAACACCGGUGGCGAAGGCGGCCCGCUGGGCAGUGGCUGACGCUGAGGCGCGACAGCGUGGGGAGCAAACAGG
rnacentral:rRNA from 1 species